GAUGAACGCUAGCGGCAGGCUUAACACAUGCAAGUCGAGGGGCAGCGCGGGAUAGCAAUAUCCUGGCGGCGACCGGCGGAAGGGUGCGUAACGCGUGAGCGACAUGCCCGUUGCCCGGGGACAACCGGUGGAAACGCCGACUAAUCCCCGAUGGGAUAUUGUGCCGCAUGGCACGAUAUUGAAAGUUACGGCGGCGACGGAUUGGCUCGCGUCCGAUUAGCUGGGUGGCGGGGUAACGGCCCACCAAGGCUGCGAUCGGUAGGGGUUCUGAGAGGAAGGCCCCCCACAAUGGGACUGAGACACGGCCCAUACUCCUACGGGAGGCAGCAGUGAGGAAGAGUGGUCAAUGGGCGGAAGCCUGAACCAGCCAUGCCGCGUGCGGGAAGGAGGCCCUAUGGGCUGUGAACCGCUUUUGCCUGGGGGCAAUAAGGGCGUCGCGCACGUCCGAUGAGGGUACCAGGCGAAUAAGCAUCGGCUAACUCCGUG
rnacentral:rRNA from 1 species